rnacentral:rRNA from 1 species
AUUGAACGCUGGCGGCAGGCCUAACACAUGCAAGUCGAGCGGGGUUUUCGGACCUAGCGGCGGACGGGUGAGUAAUGCGUAGGAAGCUGCCCGAUAGAGGGGGAUACCAGUUGGAAACGACUGUUAAUACCGUAUAAUGUCUACGGACCAAAGUGUGGGACCUUCGGGCCACAUGCUAUCGGAUGCGCCUACGUGGGAUU